rnacentral:rRNA from 1 species
UACGUAGGGUGCGAGCGUUGUCCGGAAUUACUGGGCGUAAAGAGCUCGUAGGUGGUUUGUCACGUCGUCUGUGAAAUUCCGGGGCUUAACUCCGGGCGUGCAGGCGAUACGGGCAAUACUUGAGUGCUGUAGGGGAGACUGGAAUUCCUGGUGUAGCGGUGGAAUGCGCAGAUAUCAGGAGGAACACCGAUGGCGAAGGCAGGUCUCUGGGCAGUAACUGACGCUGAGGAGCGAAAGCAUGGGUAGCGAACAGGAUUAGAUA